CCUACGGGUGGCAGCAGUGAGGAAUAUUGGUCAAUGGGCUUACGCCUGAACCAGCCAAGUCGCGUGAGGGAAGACUGCCCUCUGGGUUGUAAACCUCUUUUGUCAGGGAGCAACGCCGGCUACGUGUAGCCGGACUGAGAGUACCUGAAGAAAAAGCAUCGGCUAACGCCGUGCCAGCAGCAGCGGUAAUACGGAGGAUGCGAGCGUUAUCCGGAUUUAUUGGGGUUAAAGGGUGCGUAGGCGGAAUGCCAAGUCAGCGGUAAAAUCGCGGGGCUAAACCUCGCUCCGCCGUUGAAACUGGCGUUCUGGAGUGGGCGAGAAGUAUGCGGAAUGCGUGGUGUAGCGGUGAAAUGCAUAGAUAUCACGAAGAACUCCGGUUGCGAAGGCAGCAUACCGGCGCCCAACUGACGCUGAGGCACGAAAGCGUGGGGAGCGAACAGGAUUAGAUACCCGAGUAGUC
rnacentral:rRNA from 1 species